rnacentral:rRNA from 1 species
AGUGAACGCUGGCGGUAGGCCUAACACAUGCAAGUCGAACGGCAGCACAGUAAGAGCUUGCUCUUACGGGUGGCGAGUGGCGGACGGGUGAGGAAUACAUCGGAAUCUACUUUUUCGUGGGGGAUAACGUAGGGAAACUUACGCUAAUACCGCAUACGACCUACGGGUGAAAGCAGGGGAUCUUCGGACCUUGCGCGAUUGAAUGAGCCGAUGUCGGAUUAGCUAGUUGGCGGGGUAAAGGCCCACCAAGGCGACGAUCCGUAGCUGGUCUGAGAGGAUGAUCAGCCACACUGGAACUGGGACACGGUCCAGACUCCUACGGGAGGCAGCAGUGGGGAAUAUUGGACAAUGGGCGCAAGCCUGAUCCAGCCAUGCCGCGUGGGUGAAGAAGGCCUUCGGGUUGUAAAGCCCUUUUGUUGGGAAAGAAAAGCAGCAGGUUAAUACCCCGCUGUUCUGACGGUACCCAAAGAAUAAGCACCGGCUAACUUCGUG